rnacentral:lncRNA from 1 species
GGAAGUUGGACGAGGCAUCGCACAUGGAGCUAAACGUAGUUUGCUCAGCUAUUCUCAAAAAUAGACUAUCGAACAAACUAAAAGAUCCAAGGAGUUUUACAAUUCCUUUCUUAAUUGGUAGUUUAGAUGUUAAUAAUGCAUUAACUGAUUUAGAGGCUAGUAUAAACGUCAUGCCCUACAAAAUGUUAAGCAAUUAGGUCUCGGGAAACCCAAACAAACUAGGAUGAGCAUUAAAUUAGCAGAUAAAACUAUAAGGUUCCC